UUCUGGAUGAAGAAGAAAAUCAAUCGGAUUCCUAUUUAUUCUUCAAUAUGAUUUUAACAACCAGCUAUUUCUGACAGAA
rfam:Dichanthelium oligosanthes cultivar Kellogg 1175 unplaced genomic scaffold Do_version_2_scaffold2329, whole genome shotgun sequence.